AUGCACCCCUGCUGCAUCCCCAACGUGGCCGGAGCGUUGUCCCCUCCCGGCGAGGAGGCAGAAGGGGCAACGAGCCAGGUUACCCUUCCCUCGGGUCCAGCUCUGCUCCCGCAGCCCCAUCCCCACCACGAUCCAAAAAAACCCCGCAGAGCCCAUUGCUGGCAGCGGCGCUCAGGGGCAGGAGCAGGCUCAGGUGCUGCUCAUUGGGUUUGGUUCGUCAUCGCUGCGGCGGCUUUCGUCAUGCACGCGCCGCUCUGGGCUGGAAGAGCAGACGGAGACGUCACACCUUCGCGCAGGAAAUCCCAGGGUGCCAAAGGGAAAGCAAAAGCAGAGCAGGGAUGCACGCUCCACGUGGCCUGCCACCACGGUAAGAGCGGUGAAACCCCAAAUCCUGCUCAAGCAGGGGAUGUCUCGGGCAGCAACACCGCGCUGGGACGUACCCCGAGCCCGGCUGCAUUGGGCACGGCUCCUCCGAACCGUGCCGAUGCCAGCUCAGCCACCGCAGCGGGGUGUCACUGCACAGCGUCCCCAAAGCCACCGUGGGCUGGGGGCACCAUGCCCAGCCCAGCGGGGCUUCAGAGCAGCAGAGGCAGCAGCGAUGCAGCCCCUCACCCAUUUGUUCCAUCCCACAAGCAAAGGGGCAGCUAUGCCGCGUUAAGGAACUGCUUGCUCCCAAUUUUCAUCGGCCGUGCUGUCAAUGUAUCGAGCACCACAGAAGUAUUUCCACGUCCCGGUCCAGAAACAGCUCCAAAAGCCAUAAAAAAAAGCAGCGUGAGGGCUGGCUCAGCGUUUUUUCCAGAGCAAGGAAUCCCAAACACGCAGGAGAUUCCCAGGCAUAGAAAGGAAAGCGAAAGGGGCAGGGCUGCAGGCUGGGUGCCGUGCCAGGUGAGGAAGGGCUCCGUGACUCAGCGGGAGGCUGGCACGGGGCUGGGACAGGAUGGAAGGGACGGGACAGGACGGGGCUGCUUCUUCCCACCCUUCUUCGAGCUGGUUGGACAAAGUCUUGGAAAUACCCCCAAAAAGGAACGAAACAGCCCCAAAAAUGCAAAAAGCACCACGGGCAACAAGCCGGAGCCCUGCCCGCCGCCGUCCAAGGGGCGCAGGGGCGGGGACAUCAGGUGGCCACCGCUGGUGCCACCUGGAGCUGCGGUGCCAGAGCCUGCUCCAGUGAUGCAAGCCCUGCCCUGCCGUCACCGCAGCUCACCUGCGGCGUCACCCCUCCGGCACCGGCACUGGGGGAAGGGCCCUUUAUGGGAAAGCUGGGCAGCGAGCUGUUCCAACAAGCUGCACUAA
rnacentral:lncRNA from 1 species